GCAGCCCUCCCCAAGGACCCCUGUGAGACAAAUCAGGAAUGGCUUCCCUGGGGCCCAAGGAGCUGACAGGGCUUUUCCUGCUGCUUCUUCUACCCCUGUAUUUCACUCAGCUUUCUAAAUGACCCAGUUCCAGAAAUUCAUCUAUCAAAUUCACAAUAGGUUGUGAAUUAAAAUGGAAAACUCUUGGAAUAAUGUAAAUGGACUGGAUGGACAUGGGGCAACUUUAAAUGCAGAUAAAUGAGACUUUUUUGCUCACCUGGAACUUCAAAAAGUGCUUACCAGAGACUGUCUCCUCACUGCUAUUUCUUAUACACAAAUUUCUUGUUGGCUUCCUGACUCAAUACUUCAAUUUAUAGUUAUCUGGUAAUUCCUCUUAAGAAACUCUCUGCAUGUUGGUAACAACUGUCUAUCCACUUCACUCAGUCCAAACAGCAGAGAGCAGCUGUUGUCAUGAGGAAAGCAAUAAGCUCACAUAAGCCUUCACCUUAUACCUCCUGAACAAAGUACUUCUGGCGUCCAGAAAAUACAAUGAUUUCAGAGAUGUCUUCUUAGAAAUAACAGAUACAGAAAUGGAAGAAGUGCAUUAUAUUGCAUUGCCAACCAAUUGCUGCAUUAUAGAUCUCACUAAAGCUCAAAGCAACCCUAUGAAACCAAUUUUGUCAUCCCUAGGGAGAAUGAAUAAUG
rnacentral:lncRNA from 1 species